CCUACGGGAGGCAGCAGUGAGGAAUAUUGGUCAAUGGCCGUAAGGCUGAACCAGCCAAGUAGCGUGAGGGAAGACUGCCCUAUGGGUUGUAAACCUCUUUUAUGCGGGGAUAAAGGUGUCAACGUGUGGAUUUUUGCAGGUACCGCAUGCAUAAGGACCGGCUAAUUCCGUGCCAGCAGCCGCGGUAAUACGGAAGGUCCGGGCGUUAUCCGGAUUUGUUGGGGUUACAGGGAGCGUAGGCCGGUCUUUAAGCGUGCCGUGAAAUUUUGUGGCUCAAACAUGAGAGUGCGGCGCGAACUGGAGACCUUGAGUGCGCGGAAGGCAGGCGGAAUUCGUGGUGUAGCGGUGAAAUGCUUAGAUAUCACGAAGAACCCCGAUGGCGAAGGCAGCCUGCCGCAGCGUUACUGACGCUGAAGCUCGAAAGCGCGGGUAUCGAACAGGAUUAGAUACCCCGGUAGUC
rnacentral:rRNA from 1 species